rnacentral:misc_RNA from 1 species
AAGUCGUAACAAGGUAACCGUAGGUGAACCUGCGGUUGGAUCAUUAACAAAAACAAAUUAUUUAAAGGAGAGUGAGACCCCAAAAAGGGUUGAUCUCUUUCUUUAAAACACCCUUGUGAACUGUUUAUUGUAUUUGGUGUAGGUUAAAACAAUCUUCAUUGAUUGGCAUUAUGCACCCACACCAACUCUAUUAAAACUUUAUUAUUUUUAUUAUGUCAUUUAUUUUUGUAUUAAAAAAAUUUAAUCAAAAAACAACUUUUGGCAACGGAUCUCUAGGCUCUU